UACGGAGGGUGCGAGCGUUGUCCGGAAUCAUUGGGCGUAAAGCGCGUGUAGGCGGUCCGGUAAGUCCGCUGUGAAAGUCGAGGGCUCAACCCUCGAAUGCCGGUGGAUACUGUCGGGCUAGAGUGCGGAAGAGGCGAGUGGAAUUCCUGGUGUAGCGGUGAAAUGCGCAGAUAUCAGGAGGAACACCAGUGGCGAAAGCGCGUGACUGGGCCACAACUGACGCUGAGGAACGAAAGCCAGGGGAGCGAAAGGG
rnacentral:rRNA from 1 species